rnacentral:rRNA from 1 species
UAAGGAAUAUUGGACAAUGGACGCAAGUCUGAACCAGCCAUGCCGCGUGAAGGAUGAAGGUCCUCUGGAUUGUAAACUUCUUUUAUCUGGGACGAAAACGGGAUUUUUAUCUCAAUUGACGGUACCAGAGGAAUAAGCACCGGCUAACUCCGUGCCAGCAGCCGCGGUAAUACGGAGGGUGCGAGCGUUAUCCGGAUUUACUGGGUUUAAAGGGUGCGUAGGUGGGCUUAUAAGUCAGUGGUGAAAUCUCCGAGCUUAACUUGGAAACUGCCGUUGAUACUAUAGGUCUUGAAUUAUCUGGAGGUAAGCGGAAUAUGUCAUGUAGCGGUGAAAUGCUUAGAUAUGACAUAGAACACCAAUUGCGAAGGCAGCUUACUACAUAUAAAUUGACGCUGAGGCACGAAAGCGUGGGGAUCAAACA